UUGGACUAGCAGCGAAGAAAAUAAACUAUGUGGUACAACACACUUUGCCAAGCAAACUAGGAAAUUGUGUGGAUGGGAAGGAAAACAAAUCUUGGUCGCCCAUUUCAACCAGUAUAUUGAAUUUAAAAUUUCAGCUCCUUUAAAUCAAAUUUAUGAAAUUCCAAAACUAGUGGUGGAAGUUUCUUCCUUGGACUGGUGGCAGCGUUUUUGUACUGAGGGUUACGGAGCCACUGCCGUUCCCACAAACCCUGGUCACCACACCCUGACCAUCCCCACCUGGCGCCCUAUUCCAUCCCCAAUGCACAGCCAUGCAGCCAGGGUGGUCGAGAUGCGACGCUUUUUUAUAGGCGGAACGCCUCAACUCAAAGACAUGGGCUGUUCGUUAGCCGAUACACAAGGGAAGGAUGUGAUGAGUCGCUUUGGUUUUUGCACCAUCAGCUCGGGGACGGUAAACGCAACAUUGGACGUUGGUUUGCAAAGACCAGUGGACAGCCGAGUGUUGGCCAAAGCCACUUUGCUGAACAAAAAGUUUGAAGCUGGCAACAGCGAGCAAUUGGUUUCUUCAGUUGAUCAAGUGAUAGCCGCUUACUUGAGAGUGAAGAGCAAAAUGGCAAGUGUGCGCGAUUCAAUGGGGACUGUUUUUAAUAAUGAUGCACAAUCCGACUAAUUUUUAAUUUUGGACCGUUUUGUACAGUAUUUAAUUAAGACUUCUGCUUCUCCUUUACACAGCUAAUUGUAAAUAUAUACCAAUAUACAAUAAUCAACAACAGGAUGAAUGAAAUUUAAAAGCAUGAAUAUGCUUGAAAUUGAAAUGACAACAAUUAAAAAGGGAUGUGUUCACAAAUAAAUGCAUUUCUAAAUGUAGUUUUUCAAAUGUUUGCGAUAAGUUAUGGGUUUUCUUUGGUAAAUUUCCGCCCACUUUCACAAUAUUUAUCAAUCAAGCACCAUGGAGCAUGGAGAGGAAAAUUAUUUACACAAGAAUUUAGGGAAUGAGCGUGCUUUUUCAUAAUAGAAUGAAAAUGAAGUAUAUUUACACUUGUGUACAUAAAGCGAGUCACGCAAAUGAGAAAAAGUAAGUACGGCUGGCGUACUCAAGAAGCAAUAAACUGGAUCACAAAAUUUCACAUUUCUUUGAAGUCAAUUUAGAAAACUUACCA